UUCCUGACCACUUUCAACCCUCACAAUAUUGAAAAUGAAAAAUAAGAGGGAUUUAGGGUAAGAGUACCUGUGACUAUCGGGCUUCACGUUCCCUCUUCUUCUUCUUCAACAUGAACGGCGGCCACCUACCACUCCGAUCAAAUCUCGCCGCUGUGAUUCGUUCGCAUAUCGAUUCCUCCGUCUCAAUCGAUCCCUCUCUGUUCUCUCAAUCUCGAAGCCUCUGAUCCCAUCCCCGAUUCUGUUCUCGACAUCACUCGCUCCUCAUCUCCGCUUGCUCUCUCAUCAUGAACGGCUCGCGACGGAGAAAUCGUUGUUCUAGCGAGUAGGUUUCUUUCCGAAUUCGCAGACGCUAAUGGCGAAGCCAAGUACCUCAACAUCCUGCAAGAUGUUGCGAACCACAAAGCUCGAUCUAUUGAAAUUGAUCUCGACGACUUAAUGAACUAUAAGGAUCUAGAUGAGGAUUUUUUGACGCGAGUUACUGAGAAUACGAGAAGAUAUGUAGGGAUUUUUGCUGAUGCAAUCGACGAGCUCAUGCCGGAGCCUACUGAGACGUUUGUGGAUGAUGAUCAUGAUAUUUUGAUGACUCAGAGAUCUGAUGA